GACGAACGCUGGCGGCGUGCCUAAUACAUGCAAGUAGAACGCUGAAGGAGGAGCUUGCUUCUCUGGAUGAGUUGCGAACGGGUGAGUAACGCGUAGGUAACCUGCCUGGUAGCGGGGGAUAACUAUUGGAAACGAUAGCUAAUACCGCAUAAGAGUAGAUGUUGCAUGACAUUUGCUUAAAAGGUGCAAUUGCAACACUACCAGAUGGACCUGCGUUGUAUUAGCUAGUUGGUGGGGUAACGGCUCACCAAGGCGACGAUACAUAGCCGACCUGAGAGGGGGAUCGGCCGCACUGGGACUGGGACACGGCCCAGACUCCUACGGGAGGCAGCAGUAGGGAAUCUUCGGCAAUGGACGGAAGUCUGACCGAGCAACGCCGCGUGAGUGAAGAAGGUUUUCGGAUCGUAAAGCUCUGUUGUAAGAGAAGAACGAGUGUGAGAGUGGAAAGUUCACACUGUGACGGUAUCUUACCAGAAAGGGACGGCUAACUACGUG
rnacentral:rRNA from 1 species